GGACCCGCACAAGCAGUGGAGCAUGUGGUUUAAUUCGACGCAACGCGAAGAACCUUACCAGGGCUUGACAUAUUGAUUACUACCCUCUAAGAGAUUAGAGGAGACUAUAAAUACAGGUGGUGCAUGGUUGUCGUCAGCUCGUGUCGUGAGAUGUUGGGUUAAGUCCCGCAACGAGCGCAACCCCUUUCCUUAGUUGCCAUCAUUAAGUUGGGAACUCUAAGGAUACUGCCGAUGUAAGUCGGAGGAAGGUGGGGAUGACGUCAAAUCAUCAUGCCCUUUAUGUCCUGGGCGACACACGUGCUACAAUGGCCGGUACAAAGAGAUGCAACAUCGCGAGGUGAAGCAAAUCCCAUAAAACCGGUCUCAGUUCGGAUUGGAGUCUGCAACUCGACUCCAUGAAGCUGGAAUUGCUAGUAAUCGCGAAUCAGCCAUGUCGCGGUGAAUACGUUCCCGGGUCUU
rnacentral:rRNA from 1 species